AGAGUUUGAUCCUGGCUCAGGACGAACGCUGGCGGCGUGCCUAACACAUGCAAGUCGAGCGAUGAAGUUCCUUCGGGAACGGAUUAGCGGCGGACGGGUGAGUAACACGUGGGUAACCUGCCUCAAAGAGGGGGAUAGCCUCCCGAAAGGGAGAUUAAUACCGCAUAACAUUAUUUUCUCGCAUGAGAAGAUAAUCAAAGGAGCAAUCCGCUUUGAGAUGGACCCGCGGCGCAUUAGCUAGUUGGUGAGGUAACGGCUCACCAAGGCGACGAUGCGUAGCCGACCUGAGAGGGUGAUCGGCCACAUUGGAACUGAGACACGGUCCAGACUCCUACGGGAGGCAGCAGUGGGGAAUAUUGCGCAAUGGGGGAAACCCUGACGCAGCAACGCCGCGUGAGUGAUGAAGGUCUUCGGAUUGUAAAGCUCUGUCUUUGGGGACGAUAAUGACGGUACCCAAGGAGGAAGCCACGGCUAACUACGUGCCAGCAGCCGCGGUAAUACGUAGGUGGCAAGCGUUGUCCGGAUUUACUGGGCGUAAAGAGUAUGUAGGCGGAUAUUUAAGUCAGAUGUGAAAUUCCCGGGCUUAACCUGGGCGCUGCAUUUGAAACUGGGUAUCUAGAGUGCGGGAGAGGAAAGUGGAAUUCCUAGUGUAGCGGUGAAAUGCGUAGAGAUUAGGAAGAACACCAGUGGCGAAGGCGACUUUCUGGACCGUAACUGACGCUGAGAUACGAAAAGCGUGGGGAGCAAACAGGGAUUAGAUACCCUGGUAGUCCACGCCGUAAACGAUGAAAUGCUAGGUGUCGGGGGGGGUACCACCC
rnacentral:rRNA from 1 species